CGCGGCCUAUCAGCUUGUUGGUGGGGUGAUGGCCUACCAAGGCGACGACGGGUAGCCGGCCUGAGAGGGCGACCGGCCACACUGGGACUGAGACACGGCCCAGACUCCUACGGGAGGCAGCAGUGGGGAAUCUUGCGCAAUGGGCGAAAGCCUGACGCAGCGACGCCGCGUGAGGGAUGACGGCCUUCGGGUUGUAAACCUCUUUCAGCCCUGACGAAGCGAAAGUGACGGUAGGGGCAGAAGAAGCACCGGCCAACUACGUGCCAGCAGCCGCGGUAAUACGUAGGGUGCAAGCGUUGUCCGGAAUUAUUGGGCGUAAAGAGCUCGUAGGUGGCCUGUCGCGUCGGCUGUAAAAACUCGGGGCUCAACUCCGAGCUUGCAGUCGAUACGGGCAGGCUAGAGUGCGGCAGGGGAGACUGGAAUUCCUGGUGUAGCGGUGAAAUGCGCAGAUAUCAGGAGGAACACCGGUGGCGAAGGCGGGUCUCUGGGCCGAUACUGACACUGAGGAGCGAAAGCGUGGGGAGCGAACAGGAUUAGAUACCCUGGUAGUCCACGCCGUAAACGUUGGGCGCUAGGUGUGGGAUCCCUUCCACGGGUUCCGUGCCGCAGCUAACGCAUUAAGCGCCCCGCCUGGGGAGUACGG
rnacentral:rRNA from 1 species